rnacentral:rRNA from 1 species
CCCCUAGAUGUCCUGGGCCGCACGCGCGCUACACUGACAUGUUCAACAAGCCUCCUAGCUCGACAGGAUUUGGGAAAUCUUUGAACGCAUGUCGUGAUAGGGAUAGAUCAUUGCAAUUAUUGAUCUUGAACGAGGAAUUCCUAGUAAACGCGAGUCAUCAGCUCGCAUUGAUUACGUCCCUGCCCUUUGUACACACCGCCCGUCGCACCUACCGAUUGAAUGUUUCGGUGAAGAUUCCGGAUAGGACUUUUUUGAUUUAUUUCAAUUUUGUCUUAAAAGCUAUCUAAACCUCAACAUUUAGAGGAAGGUGAAGUCGUAACA